rnacentral:rRNA from 1 species
AUUGAACGCUGGCGGCAGGCCUAACACAUGCAAGUCGAACGAGUGGCGGACGGGUGAGUAGUGUCUGGGAACCUGCCCGAUGGAGGGGGAUAACUACUGGAAACGGUAGCUAAUACCGCAUACCAUCGGAUGUGCCCAGAUGGGAUUAGCUAGUGGGGGGGGUAAAGGCUGACCUAGGCGACGAUCCCUAUCUGGUCUGAGAGGAUGACCAGCCACACUGGAACUGAGACACGGUCCAGACUCCUACGGGAGGCAGCAGUGGGGAAUAUUGCACAAUGGGCGAAAGCCUGAUGAAGCCAUGCCGCGUGUAUGAAGAAGGCCUUCGGGUUGUAAAGUACUUUGAGCGGGGAGGCGUUACCCGCAGAAGAAGCACCGGCUAACUACGUGCCAGCAGCCGCGGUAAUUC